UACGGAGGGAGCUAGCGUUGUUCGGAAUUACUGGGCGUAAAGCGCGCGUAGGCGGCUUUGUAAGUUAGAGGUGAAAGCCCGGAGCUCAACUCCGGAACUGCCUUUAAAACUGCAUCGCUUGAAUCCAGGAGAGGUGAGUGGAAUUCCGAGUGUAGAGGUGAAAUUCGUAGAUAUUCGGAAGAACACCAGUGGCGAAGGCGGCUCACUGGACUGGUAUUGACGCUGAGGUGCGAAAGCGUGGAGAGCAAACAGG
rnacentral:rRNA from 1 species